AUGCCCUAUCAUGGAACUGUCGGGGGGGACCGCCGGACAGUUCGGGAGGUGUUGGCCCUCUCAAAAGCCAAUAACCCCAAGCUAGUCUUCCUUUGCGAGACUAGACAAGUAUCCUCGAGGAUUGAGAAGUUAUGUUGGAGGCUUGGCCUCAAAGGUUUCCAUGGUGUUGAUAGUGAUGGAAGGAGUGGAGGCUUAGCCCUAUUCUGGGAUGAGUCGUUGGCUGUAACAAUUUUGGAUUCAUGCAAUAGAUAUAUUGAUCUGAGGAUCGUAGAGGGGGGGCACCGGUUUGACUUGGAGGUGUACCUUUGUCUAUGGUGA
rnacentral:rRNA from 1 species